rnacentral:rRNA from 1 species
AUUGAACGCUGGCGGCAGGCCUAACACAUGCAAGUCGAACGAGUGGCGGACGGGUGCGUAAUGUCUGGGAAACUGCGCGAUGGCUGGGGAUAACUACUGGAAACGGUAGCUAAUACCGCCUACCAUCGGAUGUGCACCGAUUGGAUUAGCUAGUAGGUGGGGUGACGGCUCACCUAGGCGACGAUCCCUAGCUGGUCUGAGAGGAUGACCAGCCACAUGGGAACUGAGACACGGUCCAGACUCCUACGGGAGGCAGCAGUGGGAAAUAUUGCACAAUGGGCGAAAGCCUGAUGCAGCCAUGCCGCGUGUAUGAAGAAGGCCUUCGGGUUGUAAAGUACUUUCAGCGAGGAGGCGUUACUCGCAGAAGAAGCACCGGCUAACUCCGUGCCAGCAGCCGCGGUAAUUC